rnacentral:rRNA from 1 species
GUAAGGAAUAUUGGACAAUGGGCGAAAGCCUGAUCCAGCCAUGCCGCGUGAGUGACGAAGGCCUUAGGGUUGUAAAGCUCUUUCAGCUGUGAGGAUAAUGACCGUAGCAGCAGAAGAAGCCCCGGCUAAUUUCGUGCCAGCAGCCGCGGUAAUACGAAGGGGCAAGCGUUGUUCGGAAUCACUGGGCGUAAAGCGUACGUAGGCGGCGAUAUAAGUCAGAAGUGAAAUCCCAGGGCUCAACCUUGGAAUUGCUUUUGAAACUGAAUUGCUAGAGUCCCGGAGAGGUUGGCGGAAUUCCGAGUGUAGAGGUAAAAUUCGCAGAUAUUCGGAGGAACACCAGUGGCGUAGGCGGCCAACUGGACGGGAACUGACGCUGAGGUACGAAAGCGUGGGGAGCAAACAGGAUUAGAAACCCCUGUAGUCC